rnacentral:lncRNA from 1 species
GCUGGGUUCAUGCAGAUAACCAACAAUUUACGACGUUUGGAAUGAGACUAACGUGAGGUAAAGAAUAAUUCAUUAAUUAGAAAACUAAUUUAUCAGAUAUUAAAAUAUCUGAAGAGUUAUAUCAGGAAAACUAUAACUUUGUAAUCUGAAGAUUUUUCUUGGUGCCCUGACUUCCUAGUUAAUCACGUAAAAAUAAUUACAGAGAAUUGAUUUGAUAAAAUAACAGUCUUCACUUUUAAUGAUGCCAAAGACACAACACUAAACCUCCUCCUACCUGUGGAGCCGUGUCUUCCUGUUCCUAGCCUCCUCUUACCUCUGGAGGUCUGUCUUACCUGUCCUUAGCCUCCGACCUGUGGAGGUUUGUGUUACCUGUCCCAAGCUGCCUCCUACCUGUGGAGGUGUGUCUCACCUAUCCCUAGCCCUGUCUUACCUGUGGAGGUGCGUCUUACCUGUCCCUAGCCCUGUCUUACCUGUGGAGGUGUGUCUUACCUGUCCCUAGCUGCCUGCUACCUGUGGAGGUGAGUCUUACCUGUCCCUAGCCUCCUCCUACCUGUGGAGGACAAUGACCCAACACACCUCCAGGCUGUGAAGGGCUAUUUGACCAAGAAGGAGAGUGAUGGAGUGCUGCAUCAGAUGACCUAGCCUCCACAAUCAGCUGACCUCAACCCAAUUGAGAUGGUUUGGGAUGGGUUGGACUGCAGAGUGAAGGAAAUGCAGCCAACAAGUGCUCAGCAUAUGUGGGAACUCCUUCAAGACUGUUGGAAAAGCAUUCCAGCUAAAACUGGUUUAGAGAAUGCCAAGAGUGUGCAAAGCUGUCAUCAAGGCAAAGGGUGGCUACUUUGAAGAAUCUCAAAUAGAAAAUACAUUUCGAUUUGUUUACAUUUUUUGGG